CUUAGAGUUUGAUCCUGGCUCAGGACGAACGCUGGCGGCGUGCUUAACACAUGCAAGUCGAGCGAGACUUCGGUCUAGCGGCGAACGGGUGAGUAACACGUGGGCAACCUGCCCCGAGCUCUGGGAUAACUCCGGGAAACCGGGGCUAAUACCGGAUACGACCCGAGAAGACAUCUUCUCGGGUGGAAAGUUUUUCGGCUCGGGAUGGGCCCGCGGCCUAUCAGCUUGUUGGUGGGGUAACGGCCUACCAAGGCGACGACGGGUAGCCGGCCUGAGAGGGCGACCGGCCACACUGGGACUGAGACACGGCCCAGACUCCUACGGGAGGCAGCAGUGGGGAAUAUUGCGCAAUGGGCGAAAGCCUGACGCAGCGACGCCGCGUGAGGGAUGAAGGCCUUCGGGUUGUAAACCUCUUUCAGCAGGGACGAAGCGAAAGUGCGCC
rnacentral:rRNA from 1 species